AUGGUGACAGCAUUAAUGUCUCUGAUGAGGACUGCACCCAGAGCCAAGCACAAAUCGGGACAGGACCGAGGUCGAGGCGAAGCAGAGGAGGGAGGGCUGCCGGGGUCCAAGGAAGAAGAGGCAGGACGGGGAGGACGAGGUGCAAGCCAAAGAGCACAUGUUCUAGGACCUGCGUCGAGCUUCACACUCCAACGACAGCAUAUGAACAGGCAAAGAACGCAAAGAAAGCUGUUUUGUUACCCCAGACAUGCAGUCCCGAUCAUCACACCAGUACUGAUGACGCCUUAACUUCCUGAUAUUAUACCCGCAUCCAGUGUGUCUUUUGUGUCUUUUGGGAUCGCUGACUGCCGCUGUCCAGGACUGCCUGCCCCUGCUCACUCCCAGCCUUUUUCACACAGUUCUACAAGUUACUCCGUUCCUUGUGAAUAAACUCUUGACUUUAA